rnacentral:rRNA from 1 species
UACGUAGGGUGCAAGCGUUGUCCGGAAUUAUUGGGCGUAAAGAGCUCGUAGGCGGUCUGUCGCGUCUGCUGUGAAAACUCAGGGCUUAACCCUGAACUUGCAGUGGGUACGGGCAGACUAGAGUGCGGUAGGGGAGACUGGAAUUCCUGGUGUAGCGGUGAAAUGCGCAGAUAUCAGGAGGAACACCGGUGGCGAAGGCGGUUCUCUGGGCCUGUACUGACGCUGAGGAACGAAAGCGUGGGGAGCGAACAGG